AAUCUUGUGCCAGCCACCGCGGUCAUACAAGAAACCCAAAUUAACUGUUUUACGGCGUAAAGAGUGGUAUCAUGCUAUCACUGCAACUAAGAUUAAAAUGCAAUUAAGCUGUCAUAAGCCUAUAAUGCCCCUAAGACCCAUAUAAACAAAUCUUAGAACACGCUGAUUAAUUAAACACCACGAAAGCUAAGGCCCAAACUGGGAUUAGAUACCCCACUAUGCUUAGCCCUAAAUUUCGAUGUUUACUCUACCAAAACAUCCGCCUGGGAACUACGAGCACAAACGCUUAAAACUCUAAGGACUUGGCGGUGCCCCAAACCCACCUAGAGGAGCCUGUUCUGUAAUCGAUAACCCACGAUACACCCGACCGCCCCUUGCCAGAGCAGCCUACAUACCGCCGUCGCCAGCUCACCUCUUGCUGAGAGCACCACAGUGAGCACAAUAGCCUUAAUUCGCUAGCAAGACAGGUCAAGGUAUAGCCAAUGGGACGGAAGAAAUGGGCUACAUUUUCUAAUCAUAGAAAAUUUCCACGAAAGGGGGUGUGAAAUCACACCCGGAAGGCGGAUUUAGCAGUAAAGUGGGACAAUAAUGCCCAUUUUAAGUCGGCCCUGGGGCACGUACAUACCGCCCGUCACCCUCCUCACAAGCCACAAAUCCCACAUAACUAAUUCGCUAACGAGCUGAAGAUGAGGUAAGUCGUAACAAGGUAAGUGUACCGGAAGGUGCACUUAGCACAU
rnacentral:rRNA from 1 species